rnacentral:rRNA from 1 species
UACGGAGGGUGCAAGCGUUAUCCGGAAUCACUGGGUUUAAAGGGUGCGUAGGCGGUGGCAUAAGUCAGUCGUGAAAUACUCCGGCUUAACCGGUAGAACUGCGAUUGAUACUGUGUCACUUGAAUUAGGUUGAGGUAGGCGGAAUGUGACAUGUAGCGGUGAAAUGCUUAGAUAUGUCAUAGAACACCGAUUGCGAAGGCAGCUUGCUGGACCUUAAUUGACGCUGAGGCACGAAAGCGUGGGGAGCAAACAGG